rnacentral:rRNA from 1 species
UACGGAGAAUGCAAGUGUUAUCCGGAAUCACUGGGCGUAAAGCGUCUGUAGGUGGUUGAAUAAGUCAAAUGUUAAAUCUUGAGGCUCAACCUCAAAAUCGCAGUCGAAACUAUUCGACUAGAGUAUAGUAGGGGUAAAGGGAUGUUCCAGUGGAGCGGUGAAAUGCGUAGAGAUUGGAAAGAACACCGAUGGCGAAGGCACUUUACUGGGCUAUUACUAACACUCAGAGACGAAAGCUAGGGUAGCAAAUGGG